rnacentral:rRNA from 1 species
UACGGGGGGGGCAAGCGUUGUUCGGAAUUACUGGGCGUAAAGGGCUCGUAGGCGGCCAACUAAGUCGGAUGUGAAAUCCCCAGGCUCAACCUGGGAACUGCAUCCGAUACUGGAUGGCUUGAAUCCGGGAGAGGGAUGCGGAAUUCCAGGUGUAGCGGUGAAAUGCGUAGAUAUCUGGAGGAACACCGGUGGCGAAGGCGGCAUCCUGGACCGGUAUUGACGCUGAGGCGCGAAAGCCAGGGGAGCAAACGGG